rnacentral:rRNA from 1 species
CAAUAGCGUAUAUUAAAGUUGUUGCAGUUAAAAAGCUCGUAGUUGGAUUUCUGGUGGGAGCACGGGUCGGCCUUCACGGGUUGUACUGUUGUUGCGUCCUGCCGUUUCGGAGGGAAUGGUCAUGUUAUUAGGUUAGCGUGAUCGGAAACUCUGUCGUUUACUGUGAAAAAAUUAGAGUGUUCAAAGCAGGCGUUUGCUUGAAUAUAUUAGCAUGGAAUAAUGGAAUAGGACCCUGGUUCUAUUUUGUUGGUUUGAGAACCAGAGUAAUGAUUAAUAGGGAUAGUUGGGGGCAUUCAUAUUUCAUUGUCAGAGGUGAAAUUCUUGGAUUUAUGAAAGAUGAACUUCUGCGAAAGCAUUUGCCAAGGAUGUUUUUCAUUAAUCAAGAACGAAAGUUAGGGGAUCGAAGAUGAUCAGAU